rnacentral:rRNA from 1 species
UACGUAGGGCGCAAGCGUUAUCCGGAAUUAUUGGGCGUAAAGAGCUCGUAGGCGGUCUGUCGCGUCGGAUGUGAAAACUCGGGGCUCAACCCCGAGCCUGCAUUCGAUACGGGCAGACUAGAGUUCGGUAGGGGAGACUGGAAUUCCUGGUGUAGCGGUGAAAUGCGCAGAUAUCAGGAGGAACACCGGUGGCGAAGGCGGAUCUCUGGGCCUUACCUGACGCUCGAGGCGCGAAAGCUAGGGGAGCGAACAGG